rnacentral:rRNA from 1 species
AACGAACGCUGGCGGCAGGCCUAACACAUGCAAGUCGAGCGAAGCCUUCGGGCUUAGCGGCGGACGGGUGAGUAACGCGUGGGAACGUGCCCUUUGGUACGGAAUAGCCCCGGGAAACUGGGAGUAAUACCGUAUGUGGUCGAGAGACGAAAGAUUUAUCGCCAAAGGAACGGCCCGCGUUGGAUUAGGUAGUUGGUGGGGUAAUGGCCUACCAAGCCGACGAUCCAUAGCUGGUUUGAGAGGAUGAUCAGCCACACUGGGACUGAGACACGGCCCAGACUCCUACGGGAGGCAGCAGUGGGGAAUCUUAGACAAUGGGGGAAACCCUGAUCUAGCCAUGCCGCGUGAUCGAUGAAGGCCUUAGGGUUGUAAAGAUCUUUCAGUGGGGAAGAUAACGACUGUACCCACAGAAGGAGCCCCGGCUAACUCCGUGCCAGCCGCCGCCGUAACAC